rnacentral:lncRNA from 1 species
UUGAACGGCAUUUUCUAAGCAUGGAUUGGACAGUAAAAAGUUAUUUUGGACGAGCCACUAAAGAGGUAGUUAUCAAGGAGUUUCUGCGUGUCAUUUUCUUUCGAGUCGCGCUUGGUCGGUUUUAGGGCAAAUUCUGUAACAGAUGCCAUAAAUGGGUCCCUAACUUGGAAAAAUUUGUUGAACGGCAUUUUCUAUGCAUGGAUUGGGCAGUAAAAAGUUAUUUUGGACGAGCCACUAAAAGGUAGUUAUCAAGGAGUUUCUGCGUGUCCUUUGCUUUCGAGUCGCGUUUGGUCGGUUUUAGGGCAAAUUCUGAAACAGAUGCCAUAUAUGGGUACCUAACUUGGAAAAUUUCUGUGAACGGCAUUUUUUAAGCAUGGUUUGGGCAGCAAAAAGUUAUUUUGGAC